rnacentral:lncRNA from 1 species
UUUUAAUUAUUUUGGGCACCUAUUUUGGGCCGAAUUAAAUCAUCUGGGCCGUGUUAUUUCUUUAUUUUGGGCCGAGUCUUGGGCCGAUUUUAAUUAUUGUAAUUGGGCCUCUGAUUUAUUUAUAUGGGCCGAUUUUAAUUAUUGUAAUUGGGCCUCUGAGUUUAUUUAUAUGGGCCGAUUUUAAUUGAUUUGGGCUAAAUUAUUUUUGGGCCUUAUUUAUUUGUUGGGCCUUAUUUAUUUUACUUAGAUGGGCCUUUAUUAAAUUAUUUCAUUGGGCCGAAUUUAUUUAAAUUGAAGCCCAUCUAUUUUAUUGGGCUGUUAUAUUAUCUUCGUUGGGCCUCGUUUGAUUUAUUUAAUUGAGCCCAGCUAAUCAAAUUAUUUAUUGGGCCAAGAUUUAUUUAAUUAAUUGAGCCGAUAAGUUAUUUCAAUUAGGCCUCUCAUGUUAAUUAUUCAAGCCCACUUCUAUUUAAUUAAUUAUUAGGCUGCCUUAUGUUAAGCCUUUUAAUUAUUUAAUCUUAUAACAUUAUUUAUUCCUAUUUAUUAAGCCCGAUUAAUUUAUGAGGUUAUUCAGCGAAUAAGCCGAAUUAGUUAUUUCUUAGUAACGACCAAUAAAGAUGGAUUUAUUUAAUCAGUGGAUUAUAACAUCCUGAAGAGAAUAGAUUAAUUUUAGUUAAUUAUCCGGUUUCAUGAGAUGAAACUUAGCUUUUAUUUAAAUCCGAUAGCUUGGAUUAACAAUAGAAAUUCCCUGAUUAUUAUUUCAGAAUAAUAAUUCAUGCAUAAGGAUCAUGCAUCAUUAAUUCUGUAUUCUCAUUAUUUGAGGAUUUU